rnacentral:tRNA from 2 species
CCCGAGUUGGAGGAGGCCGCCCGCCUCGACGGCUGCAACCCGUUCCAGGUGUUCUGGCGGGUGAUGCUCCCGCUCACCCGGCCC